rnacentral:rRNA from 1 species
UAGAAUAAGCACCCGGCUAACACCUUGCCAGCAGCUGCGGUCAUGUGGACGGGGGGCUAGCGUAGUUAUGUAUUACUGUGCGUCCAAGCGCAUGUAGGCGGCUUUGUAAGUCAGAGGUGAAAUCGUGGAGAUCAACUCCAGACAUGCCUUUGAGAGUGCAUCGCUUGAAUCCCAGGAGAGGUCAGUGGAAUUCCGAGUGUAGAGGUGAAAUUCGUAGAUAUUCGGAAGAACACCAGUGGAGAAGGCGUCUGACUGGACUGGUAUUGACGCUGAGGUGCGAAAGCGUGGGGAGCAAACAGGAUUAGAUACCUUGGUAGUCCACGCCGUAAAAGAUGAUAACUAGCUGUCCGGGGACUUGGUCUUUGGGUGGCGCAGCUAACGCAUUAAGUUAUCCGCCUGGGGAGUACGGCCGCAAGGUUAAAACUCAAAGGAAUUGACGGGGGCCUGCACAAGCGGUGGAGCAUGUGGUUUAAUUAGAAGCAACGCUCAGAACCUUACCAGCGUUUGACAUGGCAGGACGACUGGCAGAGAUGCCUUUCUUCCCUUCGGGGACCUGCACACAGGUGCUGCAUGGCUGUCGUCAGCUCGUGUCGUGAGAUGUUGGGUUAAGUCCCGCAACGAGCGCAACCCUCGAUCUUAGUUACCAUCAUUUAGUUGGGGACUCUAAGAUAGCCUCCGGUGAUAAGCCGGAGGAAGGUGGGGAUGACGUCAAGUCCUCAUGGCCCUUACGCGCUGGUCUACACACGUGCUACAAUGGCAAUUACAGUGGGCAGCGACCCUGUGAGGGCGAGGUAAUCCCCAAAAGUUGUCUCAGUUCGGAUUGUUCUCUGCAACUUGAGAGCAUGAAGGCGGAAUCGUUAGUAAUCGCGGAUCAGCAUGCCCCGGUGAAUACGUUCCCAGGCCUUGUCCACACCGCCCGUCACCCCAUGGGAGUUGGAUUCACCCGAAGGCGUUGCGCCAGCCCGUAAGGAAGCAGGCGACCUACGCUGCCCCGCCUGCG